rnacentral:rRNA from 1 species
CGAAUAAGGAUCGGCUAACUCCGUGCCAGCAGCCGCGGUAAUACGGAGGAUUCAAGCGUUAUCCGGAUUUAUUGGGUUUAAAGGGUGCGUAGGCGGUUUGAUAAGUUAGAGGUGAAAUCCCGGGGCUUAACUCCGGAACUGCCUCUAAUACUGUUAGACUAGAGAGUAGUUGCGGUAGGCGGAAUGUAUGGUGUAGCGGUGAAAUGCUUAGAGAUCAUACAGAACACCGAUUGCGAAGGCAGCUUACCAAACUAUAUCUGACGUUGAGGCACGAAAGCGUGGGGAGCAAACAGGAUUAGAUACCCUGGUAGUCCACGCAGUAAACGAUGAUAACUCGUUGUCGGCGAUACACAGUCGGUGACUAAGCGAAAGCGAUAAGUUAUCCACCUGGGGAGUACGUUCGCAAGAAUGAAACUCAAAGGAAUUGACGGGGGCCCGCACAAGCGGAGGAACAUGUGGUUUAAUUCGAUGAUACGCGAGGAACCUUACCCGGGCUUGAAAGUUACUGACGAUUCUGGAAACAGGAUUUCCCUUCGGGGCAGGAAACUAGGUGCUGCAUGGUUGUCGUCAGCUCGUGCCGUGAGGUGUCGGGUUAAGUCCCAUAACGAGCGCAACCCCUACCGUUAGUUGCCAUCAGGUCAAGCUGGGCACUCUGGCGGGACUGCCGGUGUAAGCCGAGAGGAAGGUGGGGAUGACGUCAAAUCAGCACGGCCCUUACGUCCGGGGCUACACACGUGUUACAAUGGGGGGUACAGAAGGCAGCUACCUGGUGACAGGAUGCUAAUCCCAAAAGCCUCUCUCAGUUCGGAUUGAAGUCUGCAACCCGACUUCGUGAAGCUGGAUUCGCUAGUAAUCGCGCAUCAGCCAUGGCGCGGUGAAUACGUUCCCGGGCCUUGUACACACCGCCCGUCAAGCCAUGGGAGCCGGGGGUACCUGAAGUGCGUAACCGCGAGGAGCGCCCUAGGGUAAAACUGGUGACUGGGGCUAAGUCGUAACAAGGUAGCCGUACCGGAAGGUGCGGCUG